rnacentral:lncRNA from 1 species
AAAAUUGUGAAAAUAAUUGUUAAAUACAUUUGGCUUUAAGCAGGCACAGACUGUGAUCAGUUGUAAAUUUUAUAGGGAUUUAUGUUUUAAUGGUAUUGGGUGACUAACUUUUCUGAAUGCGUUUUCAGGGGAAUGAAUUGGAAGUAACCAUUAUGAUGGUGGUAGAAGCACUAUGUGAACUUCAUUGUCCUGAAGCUAUACAAGGAAUUGCUGUCUGGUCAUCAUCUAUUGUUGGAAAAAAUCUUCUGUGGGUUAACUCAGUGGCUCAACAGGCUGAAGGGAGGUUUGAAAGGCCUCUGUGGAGUACCAGGAACACCUGUGUGCCAUGACAGGUGUUGAUUGCUGCAUCUCCAGCUUUGACAAAUCGGUGCUCACCUUAGCCAAUGCUGGGUGUAACAGUGCCAGCCCGAAACAUUGUCUGAAUGGUGAAUCCAGAAAAACUGUGCUGUCCAAACCGACUGACUCUUCCCCUGAGGUUAUAAAUUAUUUAGGAAAUAAAGCAUGUGAGUGCUACAUCUCAAUUGCCGAUUGGGCUGCUGUGCAAGAAUGGCAGAACGCUAUCCAUGACUUGAAAAAGAGUACCAGUAGCACUUCCCUCAACCUGAAAGCUGACUUCAACUAUAUAAAAUCAUUAAGCAGCUUCGAGUCUGGAAAAUUUGUUGAAUGUACCGAGCAAUUAGAAUUGUUACCAGGAGAAAAUAUCAGUCUACUUGCUGGAGGAUCAAAAGAAAAAAUAGACAUGAAAAAACUGCUUCAUAACAUGUUAAGUCCAGAUCCAAGGGAACCUCAGAAAUCCAUUGAAGUUCAAUUGUUAAGAAGUUCUGUUUGUUUGGCAACUGCUUUAAACCCGAUAGAACAAGAUCAGAAGUGGCAGUCUAUAACUGAAAAUGUGGUAAAGUACUUGAAGCAAACAUCCCGCAUCGCUAUUGGACCUCUGAGACUUUCUACUUUAACAGUUUCACAGUCUUUGCCAGUUCUAAGUACCUUGCAGCUGUAUUGCUCAUCUGCUUUGGAGACCACAGUUUCUAACAGACUUUCAACAGAGGACUCUCUUAUUCCACUCUUCGGUGAAGCUUUAUGUUCAUGUAAACAGCAUGACGUGAGGCCAUGGAUGCAGGCAUUAAGGUAUGAUCUCGUGAAACCUUGAGAGAAAGUGAAUGACGAAUGAAACUAUUGUUCCUGUUUCACACAGAAGAAAACUGAGGUUAAAAGGGGUUGGCACUCAUCAUGAGCCCCUGUUCUCAUUCUGCAAAUGGUGAAGCUCUCUAUUGUCCUGACCCCACAGUUCCUGUCCCAUGACCAGGGCCAGCUCACCAAGGAGCUGCAGCAGCACGUAAAGUCAGUGACAUGCCCAUGCGAGUACCUGAGGAAGGUGAGUGAGUGCAGACAGAUGGGGCCUGGUGCCCUUGAGCAGUUCCCGGGUCUCAGCUGCCACACAUCUCAUAGCGGGUGAUGCUGGGGGAAGCUUACGCAGUCACAGUACUGGCUUCUUCCUCUUUUUCUUUCCAUACAAGGGGCUUAGGGAUGGGGUAGAGUAGUUGACUUAUUUGGAUGAAAACCACUAUCUUCUGCCAGAAACUCAAAAGGAAUCAUUGCUGGCAUGGUAACCUAAAGAAAAACAACCAGACAAGUGCCCAACGACACUUAAAAAGGUUAUUUAUUAUCUUGCCAAGUUUAGGCUGGGCAUGGUGACUCAUGCCUGUAAUCCCAGCAUUUUGGGAGGCUGAGGCUGGUGGAUCACCUGAGGCCAGGACUUCGAGACCAGCCUGACCAAUACGGCAAAACCUCG